rnacentral:rRNA from 1 species
AUGGGCGACGCCGCCGACGCACCCCGCCGGCGUCGGCUGGACUCAAUUCUCCUCGCCCGGAAACCGCGCCUCACCGACAGCAGGAACGAGACCACGGCCACAGCCGUAUCCAUGGAUGGCUUCACCAUGGCGGUCUCCUUCUGGAUGGCCGACCCGCCGCAGCUGUCCAUCUUCUCCAUCUACUGCUGCCGACCCCCUCAUCUGCAAGCCGGGCCGUACUGCAAUUUCAAAGAUUUGCCACGCGUGGUCGGCGUCGGCGCGGAGGGCCGAUUCGUCCUCUUCCGCGCCGUCUUCGACCGCCGAUACACAUCCGAAUAUUUCCUGUACAAGGCCGGCGAGUCGCCGUCGCUCGAGUGGAUUCCUUCUCCCUACGAGUAUCAUGAUGGCGACCUCCAUGAUCUGCGCGGGGUCAGGGAGUUCGGCGUCCUGCAGCAGCUCGGCGGCCACUAUCUCGUGGCCGCUCUCUGCCUCGACCCGUUGUCGGAUGACUAUCACCUUCGGAUCUACUCGUCCGAGAGAACGUCAUGGAGCACCAGGACACUGCCCAAUCCAUGUCCUGGGGUCGACAGGAUUAUACCCGACAAGGUGAUCACGCUUGGAGAAGAAGGCUUACUAGGGUGGGUUGAUUUGUCACACGGCCUGCUGAUGUGCGACCUGCGUCAAGAUCAUGUGCGUUUCACUUUCAUCCCGUUGCCGGAGCCGUUGCCUGGGAACAGAUACAAACUAAAAGGUCACAUUCCCCCUCCCACCGCAAAGAGAAGCAAAAAAACCAGAGGACGAAUCUCACCCAAAUCUCUGGUGGUUUUGGGAUCUCGCAUGGGUUGA